CCUACGGGCGGCAGCAGUAGGGAAUCUUCCACAAUGGGCGAAAGCCUGAUGGAGCAACGCCGCGUGGGUGAAGAAGGUCUUCGGAUCGUAAAACUCUGUUGUUAGAGAAGAAAGUGCGUGAGAGUAACUGUUCACGUUUCGACGGUAUCUAACCAGAAAGCCACGGCUAACUACGUGCCAGCAGCCGCGGUAAUACGUAGGUGGCAAGCGUUAUCCGGAUUUAUUGGGCGUAAAGGGAACGCAGGCGGUCUUUUAAGUCUGAUGUGAAAGCCUGCGGCUUAACCGGAGUAGUGCAUUGGAAACUGGGAGACUUGAGUGCAGAAGAGGAGGGUGGAACGCCAUGUGUAGCGGUGAAAUGCGUAGAUAUAUGGAAGAACACCAGUGGCGAAAGCGGCUCUCUGGUCUGUAACUGACGCUGAGGUUCGAAAGCGUGGGUAGCAAACAGGAUUAGAUACCCCUGUAGUC
rnacentral:rRNA from 1 species